rnacentral:rRNA from 1 species
UACGUAGGUGGCGAGCGUUGUCCGGAUUUACUGGGCGUAAAGAGCGCGCAGGCGGUCGUACAAGUCGCGUGUGAAAGCCCCCCGGCUCAACUGGGGAGGGUCACGCGAUACUGUUCGACUCGAAGGCAGGAGAGGGAAGUGGAAUUCCCGGUGUAGUGGUGAAAUGCGCAGAUAUCGGGAGGAACACCGGUGGCGAAGGCGGUUCUCUGGGCCUUACCUGACGCUGAGGAGCGAAAGCGUGGGGAGCGAACAGG